rnacentral:rRNA from 1 species
GAUUUCUGGUCUGACAUGCCUGGCCCGCCGGGGUCACCCGCGUGAGUGCCGGUGCGCGUCUACCAUCCUUCUGGAAAACGGCCUUACCCUUCACUGGGCCGAGGUCGCGAUCCAGAUCUUUUACUUUGAAAAAAUUAGAGUGUUUAAAGCAGGCUUGCGCUAUGAAUACAUUAGCAUGGAAUAAUAAUUUAGGACUUUGGUCUUAUUUUGUUGGUUUCUAGGACUAAAGUAAUGAUUGAUAGGGACAGUUGGGGGUGCUAGUAUUCAGCGGCCAGAGGUGAAAUUCUUGGAUUCGCUGAAGACUAACUUAUGCGAAAGCAUU